CGCUGCCAGCCCUGCUCCCGGUCCCCAACCCCAUGGAGACAGAGCCCCGGGGCCAAAAACCCCCUGCGCGGAGACGGGGCAGGGCCAGCGCCUCGCCCCCGGCGGGCGGCACCCCCGGCGUGGCCGCUUCCUGCAGCCGGCAGGAAUUCCGUCGGGGAGAGCUUCGUUUCUGGAACAGCGCCGACAAAGAAUUCGUUCACUCAUUACCAGGACUGGCCUUAACGAGACAUCGAGAGAGAGAGAGACUUUCCUGAAUUAAAUAUUUCAAACAAAA